CAGUAGCCGCGGUAAUACGUAGGUGGCAAGCGUUGUCCGGAAUUAUUGGGCGUAAAGGGAGCGUAGGCGGAUGAAUUAGUCAGGGGUGAAAUCCCGGGGCUCAACCUCGGAACUGCCUUUGAUACUGUUCAUCUUGAGUAUGGGAGAGGUGUGUGGAACUCCGAGUGUAGAGGUGAAAUUCGUAGAUAUUCGGAAGAACACCAGUGGCGAAGGCGACACACUGGCCCAUUACUGACGCUGAGGCUCGAAAGCGUGGGGAGCAAACAGGAUUAGAUACCCCAGUAGUCCCUGUCUCUUAUAC
rnacentral:rRNA from 1 species